GUUGUGGCUCAGCGAUAGAGCACUUGCCUAGCAUGUGUGAGGCUCUGGGUUCGACCCUCAGCACGACA
rnacentral:tRNA from 1 species